CAGGUCCCUCUCAUAACACCUGGGAAUUCAGGAUGAGAUUUGGGUGGGGACACAGCCAAACCAUAUCAUGGAGAAAUCAUCUAUUGAGUGUUACAGCCCUUCCAAUCCCCCUUACCUGGGGCAACCUCCCACUGCACCACCAGGUGCUCUACCCCCACCACCUUAAAAACUCCCCAUUUCUGCACCUUCACACUUAUGCCUACAGGUAAUGCCCAACAGAGGUGAUGCCACAAGGGUUCAAGCUCCCUUCUUAUUGCAGGACCUUAGGCAAAUAAAGGGAGACUUAGGCAGAUUUUUUAUGACACUGUUAGGUAUAUAGAAGCUUUCCAAAACCUAACUCAGGUGUUUGACCUCUUGUGGAGGGAUGUUAUGCUGCUCCUAAUCCAAACCCUAACCACAGUGAAAAGCAGGAAGCUCUGCAGGCAACAGAGAAAUUACGAGAUGAGCAGUAUGUCUUCUAUAGUAGGCCAAAAAGGAAAAGAGAAAAUAAAUAGGGAAGGUGAAGAAAUAGGGGAAAAGCCAUUCCCAAUAAGAAGAGGGGCAAUACCUCUUGACAACCUUAAUUGGAACUUCAGUGACACCACAGAUGAAUGAAAAAGAAAACAGUUUCUAAUGUGCAUAUUGGAGGGCCUAGAAAGAAUUAGGGCCAAAGAUCUUAAUUACUCCAAACUGUCUAUGAUAGACCAAAAGCCAGAUGAGAAUCCCACAGCCUUUAUGGAAAGACAGACAGGCACUAAUAAAACACACCUCCUUAUUCCCCAAUUCAGUUGAGGGACAGCUCAUCCUGAAGGACAAGUUUAUUACACAGGAAGAUCCUGAUAUUAGAAGGAAACUACAGAGGCAGGUUAUAGGACCAGAUAGCACCUUGAAGAACCUCCUGAGGGUGGCCACCAUUGUCUUUUAUUAUAGGGACCAGAAGGAGGUCCAGGAGAAAGAGAGGAAGUAAAAGAGAAGAACAGAGGCUCUAGUAACUGCUUUGCAAACUUGCAAAGUCCAGAAUCCCUGAGGUGCAUCCAUUAGUUGCUAUCAGUGCAGCAAGUCAGGGCACUUUAAGGAGUGCCCAGGCAGCAAGAAGAAACCACCAUGACCCUGUCCAGAAUGUGAUGGGGAUCACUGGAAAUUGGAUUGUCCCUGGAGAUAAAGGUCACUGGGUUCAGAACCAAUCUCACAGGUGAUCCAACUGGGCUGAUAUGUCCUGGGGCUCAAACCUCUGGCUCCAGGAGCUCAAAUGCCACUACAGCACAGGAGCCCCAGGUGAUUCUGGAAAUUGAAGGAAGAAAGGUAGACCUCCUUCUGGACACUACAGCAAGCCUCUCUCUUCUUCUUUCUAAUCCAGGCCUCCCAUCUUCCCAUAACUGUGAGGGGCACCUCAGAAAAAACUCUAAUCUGUUAUUUUUCUUAACCCCUUAGUUGCAGUUGGGGGGAACCUAUUAGUUACACAUGCCUUUUCAAUCACACCUGAAAGUCCCACUCCUUUAUUAGGUAGAGACAUUUUGGUUCACAUGGGGGACAAACUCUUUGUCUCCCCCUGGUAGAAGCUAAUAUCAAUCCAGAAGUGUGAGCAACAAGGAAGAGUAGGUUGAGCAGUAACCACUAGGCCAGUCCAGAUCCAUCUUAAUGAUCCCACUUAUUUUCCCAACCAAAGACAAUACCCCCUAAAGCCAGAGGCUAGGAAAGGGCUAGAAGCCAUUAUUAAAAACCUGAAGAUGCAGGACCUUUUCAAACACUGUAACAGCCCCUGCAACACCCCAAUAUUAGGAAGGCAAAAUCCCAAUGGGGAAUGGAGACUACUUCAGGACCUCUGCCUCAUUAAUGAGGUGGUAGUCCCAAUUUAUCCAGUAAUACCUAUUCCCUAAUACUGUGCUGACCCAAAUACCUCAGGGAACUAAAUGAUUUGCAGUCCUAGGUUUAAAGGAUGCCUUUUCUGUAUACCAUCACAUCCUGACUCUCAAUACCUGCUUGUCUUUGAAGAUCCCUCUGGCCAAAUUGCCCAGUUAACAUGGAUAGCGCUGCUUAGGGAUUUUGAGACAAUCCUCUUUUGUUUGGACAGGCUCUAUCAAAAGACCUCUCUGAGGUUUUCCAUCCUCAGGUCAGGGUCUUGCAAUAUGUGGAUGAUAUACCACUCUGUGCCCCACCUGAGGAAGCUUCCCAGGAAAGCACUGAAGUUCUUAAUUUAUUAACUAACAGAAGAUAUAAGGUUUCAAAAUAUAAGGCCCAGCUUUGCAAAAUCUCAGUGAAGUACUUGGAUGUAGUUCUGUCUGAAGGGACCAGAGCAUUAGGGGAAGAAAGGAUUAAGCCCAUUUUUUCCUUUUCCCUCCUCAAAACCCUAAAGCAACUAAGAAGAUUUUUGGGCAUUACAGGAUUUUGCAGGCUAUGGAUACCUGGGUAUGGUGAGAUAGCUUAUCCUCUAUAUCACCUCAUAAAGAAACUCAAGUGGCUAAAACUCCUCUCUUAAUCUGGGAACCUGAAGCUCAAAAGGCCUUUAACCAGUUACAACAAGGCUUGCUUAAGGCACCAACCCUCAGUCUUUUCAUAGGGCCUUCAAUCUGUAUGUAUCAGAAAGGAAGGGAAUGGCCCUGGGAGUUUUAAUGCAUGCCUGAGGACAGCUCAACAGCCAGAGAUUUAUCUGAGUGAGAAAUUUAAUUUGGUGGCUAAAGGAUAGCCAGCAUGCCUCUGAGAUAUUGCCAUGGUGGCCCUACUGGUCCCAGAAGCCUCCAAAUUAAUCCUGGGAAAGGAUUUAACUGUUUACACCCCACAUAAUGUGGCAGGAUUACUCUCCUCCAGGGAACAUUUAGCUAACAGAUAGCCAGCUCCUUAAAUAUCAAGCUGUCUUGUUAGAGGGUUCCACCAUCCAGGUAAAAACUUGCUCUUGCCUAAACCCAGCCACUUUUCUCCCUGAGGAAACAGGGAAACCUGAGCAUGACUUAAACAGGUUGUGGUACAGACCUAUGCAGCCAGGGAGGAUCUCAGAGAAACUUUCCUAGAAAAUCCAGACCGGACCCUCUUUAUGGAUGGAAACUCCUUUGUGGAGCAAGGAGUCCAUAAGGUGGGAUAUGCAAUAAUCACUCUGAAUUAUGCAAUUGAAAGUGCAUCUCUUGCUUCAGGCCUAAGCACUCAACUAGUUGAACUGAAAGCCCUUAUAAGAGCACUUGAAUUAAGUAAGGGAAAGGUAGCUAACAUUUACACUCACAUCAAGUAUGCUUUCUUAGUUAUCCAUCAUGCUCAUGCUGCCAUUUGGAAGGAAGGACACUUUUGUACUGCCAAUAGAUCCCCUAUAAAAUACCAACAGGAAAUUAACAGUUUUCCUUCCACAAGAGUUUGCAGAGAUGCAUUGUAAGGGACAUAAGAAAGGAGUAGAUAAAAUACCCAGUGGAAACAUGUUAGCUGAUCAGGCAGCCAAGUCAGCAGCAAGGAAGCCUCAGGACAUCAGCACACUUCAAGGCCCUUUAAUCUGGGAAGGCUUCAUAAUAAAUUAAACCUCAGUACUCCCCUGCAGAAAUGGAAUGGGGCACUUCUUUAGGGUACACUCUCCAGUCCUCAGAAUGGCUACAAUCAGGAUGGCAAGCUCCAUUUGCCAGCCUCCAGCCAAUGGAAAAUCCUUAAACUCCUUCACCAAGCUUUUCACUUGGGAAAGGAUAAAAUUUAUCACUGUUUCCAGAGAUUGUUUUCAGGAAAGAGCUUAUUAAGAACAGUCAAACAGGAUGUUAAUUGUUGUAAAGUCUGUCUUAAAAAUAAUUCCCUCAACAGAUGGCUCCUUCCUUCUCAAAUCCAAAGGAUGGGAAACUACCCAGGGGAGGACUGGCAAAUUGACUUCACCUACAUGCCAAAGAUGAAGGGCAUCCAAUACCUCCUGGUAUUGGUAGAUAUUUCCACUAACUAGGUAGAAGCACUUCCAUGCCAUACAGAAAAAUCCUGAGGUAAUAAAAGUGUUAAUUAAUGAAAUUAUUCCUUGUUUUGUCUACCUAAGUACCUCUAAGUGACAACAGCCCCUCAUUUAAGGCAGCAGUCACACAGGGCAUCUCAAAGGCACUAGACAUACAGUAUAAUCUCCAUUGUGCUUGGAGACCUCAGUCCUCAGGAAAGGUAGAGAAGACAAGUGAUAUCAUCAAAAGACAUCUCAGGAAACUGUCUCAUGAAACCCACCUUCCUUGGGUCACUAUUCUUCCCAUGGCUUUACUGUGAAAAUUAACUCAACUAGCAGAAGCCCAACCGCAAGAAACAGGACCACCUUUAUUUAACUCAGAAGAUUUGGUGUUGGUAAAAGCUCUCCCUUCCCUCUCUACUUCCCUAUGCCUAAUCUAGGAAGGGCCCUGAAUUGCUCUUCUUUCAAUCCCCUCCACAGUAGAAGUUACAGAUAUCAGCUCCUGGAUACAUCAUACUAAAGUCAAAGCCUGGAAAACCAAGAGAGCAACCCCUGACAACCUAGAGGAAUGUCCUGGAGAUUAAUGUGAAGAACUAGGAGAUUUCAAGCUGAAAAUCAUAAAAGAUAAGUAAAUGAGUAAGGGCUACUCAUCCUACUUAGUCCCAUGUUUACCUUACCAGAUACAUUUAGUCAUUUCUACUUUUCCUCUUGAGAGUCACUACCAGGUUUUAAAACAUAUUUUGAUGCAUACUUGCAGGGAGAUUUUUAAUUAUUCAUGAAAUUGCAUUUGUAACUUCAUAGACACCCAAAGGGAAAUGUUAUGUCUUGGCAAUGAUGGAAAAUCUUAUUGAUGUGAAAAGUCACUGAACAGGGAAUUGGAAACCUGGAUUUGAAAAAAAUGUCUUCUUCUCAUUCAUAGUAUGAAGAGAUGUACAGAGGUAUUUGGUGGCAAAAAGAUGGAGGAGAGAAACCUUAAUUGAGUGGAACCAAAAAUGAAUUUGAAUAGAUAUGGAGUUGGGGAUGUCUUUCAAUAACCUGCAAACCUGAAUGUUGACAUGGAAUGUUAUUUGGUCAGGUAUGCACCAGAAAAAGAGUUGAAUGUGGAUAAUUAUUAGAGGAAAUUAUAGUAGUUCUGUAGAAUGAUAUAUACAAUGAGAAUAGAACUCAGAGACCAGAUUAUGAGAUUGUUCCUCUCUUUGGCCUCUGUCUUGAAGGAAGUCUGGAUUAUGGAAAUGCAGAUUCUAUAAUAAAGCCUGGCUCUCCAUUCCAAGAUGGCUGAAUAGGAACAGAUCUGGUCUGCAGCUCCCAGUGUGAUCAAUGCAGAAGACAGGUGAUUUCUGCAUUUCCAACUAAGCAUAUACCUGAAAGUGGAAUUUCUGAGUCAUAUGGUUACUCUAUGUUUAAUCUUUGGAGCAACUGUGGCUGGAUCAAAGACACACCUAUAAGAACUAAAAAGAAAAUAUUCCUACAAGAAAACAUAGGCAUAAAAUUGGCUGAACCAUUUUAUAUCCUCAGCAGCGUGUAUGAUGGCUUCCAUUUUUUCAUACCCUUGCCAAUGCUUUUCAUUAUCUGUCGUUUUCACUCUAGCCAUCCUAGUGGGUAAGAAGUGGCUUUUUAUUUUGGUUUUAACUUGUAUUUUCCUCAUGGCUAAUGAGGUUGGGCAUUCUUUCAUGUGCUUAUUGACCAUUUGUAUUAUCCUUUUAUGAAAAUAUGUAUUCAGAUU
rnacentral:lncRNA from 1 species